rnacentral:rRNA from 1 species
UACGUAGGGUGCGAGCGUUUGUCCGGAAUUAUUGGGCGUAAAGAGCUCGUAGGCGGUGUGUCACGUCGGCCGUGAAAACCUGCAGCUUAACUGUGGGCGUGCGGUCGAUACGGGCAUCACUGGAGUUCGGCAGGGGAGACUGGAAUUCCUGGUGUAGCGGUGAAAUGCGCAGAUAUCGGGAGGAACACCGGUGGCGAAGGCGGUUCUCUGGGCCUGUACUGACGCUGAGGAGCGAAAGCGUGGGGGAGCGAACAGG